ACAGCAGCCGCCGCGGGAAUACGGAGGGAGCUAGCGUUGUUCGGAAUUACUGGGCGUAAAGCGCGCGUAGGCGGUUACUCAAGUCAGAGGUGAAAGCCCGGGGCUCAACCCCGGAACUGCCUUUGAAACUAGGUGACUAGAAUCUUGGAGAGGUCAGUGGAAUUCCGAGUGUAGAGGUGAAAUUCGUAGAUAUUCGGAAGAACACCAGUGGCGAAGGCGACUGACUGGACAAGUAUUGACGCUGAGGUGCGAAAGCGUGGGGAGCAAACAGGAUUAGAUACCCCGGUAGUCCCUGUCUCUUAUAC
rnacentral:rRNA from 1 species